ensembl:miRNA
AACAUAGGUCAAAGUUCACAGGGGAUCAAGAAAUAUUAUUCUUGUAUAAUCUGUGCACUCUGACUUAAAAUAC